UUCUAGAGGAGUAGAACCCUUUCCUCUUCCAGAGGACAUCUCAGUACAUUUUCUGGGACAGUCUAAUGAUGCACCAAAGAGAAGCUACAAAGCCAUUGAAUGAUUCCUAUUAUGUGCACCUAGCCUGCAUAAAGCUCCUUUUCUCGAGAAGUCGGAGUGAGUGGAGUCAUAUAACUUAACUUUGAUCUAUCUCAAAGGCAUCGCCAGCUCCCUGACAGCCAGGCUCAGCAGAGCACGCAGGCAUGGCCAGGCAUCUAGUGGUUCUGACAGUCACAGAAGCUCUGUUGUGCUAAUGGGCUUCUCUUAAUGCUGAGAGAUCAGCUCUGCAAUUUGCUCAACAGCCCUGGGCCAGCUUUGCAGAGGCCUUAUUGCUCCCAUUCAGGCCAUGUGGUCUGUGAGUUGGAGCAAGAGUAUAUUGUGAGUACUUCUGUGUGAAUAACCCUGCUGGAGCUCCCUGCACUCCAGUUAUUGACUGAGGCAAGUCCCCCAGCCUGGAUAAUUGCCUAUAGGAAGCAUCAACUCUGAUCACUGGAACUGGCCAAGAGGCAAAUGUGACCUCCGAGAGUGACCAUGUUGGCCUGGGUGCCUAUCUGAAAAAAAUUCAAUGAUGUCUUCAUUUGCACCGCACCGUUUUCCUGUCUCAGCGUGUGGAACUGCUUUCAUGGCUCCUGUUUUCUCAUCUAUGACCCCAUCAAUAAGCAUCACUCUGAGAGCAGUACUAAUUUUCUCACAUACAUUCUCUGAAGAACGUUCUUUAUUCUCACCUCCGCAUUUCCUGGAAGAAUGUGUUGUCAUGACAGCAGGGAGGCAAGAGUGUAGGCUUUGGAGUCAGAUAGAAAUGGGUGUGGAGCCCAGUUCUACCAUUUGAAAGUUUUGUGAUGUAGAGAGAGUCACUUAAUCUAACUGUGCCUCAGUUUUCCCAUCUGUAUAAUGGGGUCAAUAUAGUCCUCCUAAAUAAUGGGGUGUCGUUAGGAUUAGCUGAGUGAAUGCAACAAUGCCUAGCACAAACAAGCCCUCUGCAAAUAUGAGGUAGGACCUCCUCCAGAGCUGGCCUUUACAUGCAGGCUUGGGUUUGCUGAAGGUCUUGUUUUAAAAUGCAGUUUUUUUGUUUUUGUUAUUUAAAUUUCCAGGUAUGCUGAUGUCAAUAGAUUAGAUGAUGUCAUUGUAAAGAUAGUUUAUUAUAUUCACAGUUCCCAAGAGAAGAUGGCACACUACACCACACAGGGUCACAUAGGGUCACGCAAGGUGUGGGUCAGAAGGCAGAAGGGCAAGAAAAAUGGGGAAGAGCCUUGAUUGGUGUUUCUGUGGGAAGGAAAAAGUGAG
rnacentral:lncRNA from 10 species